rnacentral:tRNA from 1 species
GGGGUUGUGGCUCAGCAGUAGAGCACUUGCCUCACACGUGUGAAACCCUGAGUUUGAUCCUCAGCACCA